rnacentral:rRNA from 1 species
CACGUAGGGCGCAAGCGUUGUCCGGAAUUAUCGGGCGUAAAGAGCUCGUAGGCGGACUGUCACGUCCGCUGUGAAAAGCUAGGGCUUAACCCUGGCCUUGCAGUGGAUACGGGCAGACUAGAGGUAGGUAGGGGAGAAUGGAAUUCCCGGUGUAGCGGUGAAAUGCGCAGAUAUCGGGAGGAACACCGGUGGCGAAGGCGGGUCUCUGGGCCGAUAUUGACGCUGAGGAGCGAAAGCGUGGGGAGCGAACAGG